UGCAAGUCGAACGGCAGCACGGGAGCAAUCCUGGUGGCGAGUGGCGAACGGGUGAGUAAUAUAUCGGAACGUGCCCAGUCGUGGGGGAUAACGCAGCGAAAGCUGUGCUAAUACCGCAUACGAUCUAUGGAUGAAAGCGGGGGAUCGCAAGACCUCGCGCGAUUGGAGCGGCCGAUAUCAGAUUAGGUAGUUGGUGGGGUAAAAGCUCGCCAAGCCGACGAUCUGUAGCUGGUCUGAGAGGACGACCAGCCACACUGGAACUGAGACACGGUCCAGACUCCUACGGGAGGCAGCAGUGGGGAAUUUUGGACAAUGGGCGCAAGCCUGAUCCAGCAAUGCCGCGUGCAGGAUGAAGGCCUUCGGGUUGUAAACUGCUUUUGUACGGAACGAAACGGUCCUUUCUAAUACAAGGGGCUAAUGACGGUACCGUAAGAAUAAGCACCGGCUAACUACGUGCCAGCAGCCGCGGUAAUACGUAGGGUGCGAGCGUUAAUCGGAAUUACUGGGCGUAAAGCGUGCGCGGGCGGUUUUGUAAGACAGAUGUGAAAUCCCCGGGCUCAACCUGGGACCUGCAUUUGUGACUGCAAGGCUAGAGUACGGUAGAGGGGGAUGGAAUUCCGCGUGUAGCAGUGAAAUGCGUAGAUAUGCGGAGGAACACCGAUGGCGAAGGCAAUCCCCUGGACCUGUACUGACGCUCAUGCACGAAAGCGUGGGGAGCAAACAGGAUUAGAUACCCUGGUAGUCCA
rnacentral:rRNA from 1 species